CAUGGAAUAUAAUGAAUCAAUUCAGCCUACUUCAUGAAUAUGACACGUAUUGGCAGAUUACUAGGUUUACUUUUAAAGUAAACGCGGAAAUGCAGAGUUUAGCAGGCAGCCAAUCAGGGCUUGAGGCGGAAAUGGCGUAAGGACACUCAAUAUGGCGUCGGAUUCAAACGGCCUCGGCUCCAUUUCAGCAGCAGUUUGCCGGCUGCCAUGGCAACCAAACAGCAUCCCCAGGGCUGAAGUCCCUCUCUGUAGGCGUGACAGCAAGUCAGUCGUUCCCCCGCUCUCUCCUCUUGCUGUCACAAAGCAAAGAACAUUUGGAAAGCUUCUUGUUCAGGGCGUUGCCGCUGACAUCCGAGGAGCCACCAUGCAGGACCAGGCAAAGGACCAAAGGGGAGCGCCCCCCCAGGCGGUACCGAGAGCGACGACGAUGCUGAACGCUGGCACGACACCGAGCAGUACCGAGCUGGGCACCCCCCAGCAGCCGAGGGGGCACACGGGCAAUGCGGAGCGAGGAAGAGGAGAGCAAGUCGACAGCAAGCUGACGGGAAGGAGGAGGAUCCAACGCCUGGAGAAGGAAAAGCUGGAGAUGACGUCCACUCACAACCAGCAGCUGUGCGCGUUGGACGCAGAGCUCGCCCGGCUCAGGUCCUCCGUGGAGCGCGGGGAAGCUCAGAGGGCGGAACUGCAGUACCGGGUGGCCGUCGGCCGCAGAGACGCCCAGAGAGCGUGCGAGAGCAACGAGGCGCUCGCAGAGCAAUCUGCAGCACUGCAGAAGGUUCUGGACAUGACUCGGCAAGCCCGACAGGAGGAGCGGCUCGCCUUGCAGCAGGAAGUGGACGAGCGCGACGCGCUGGUUGAAGGCUUGACUUCAGAGAGCGAACGACUGCACCGACUCCUGCUGCACCAGGAGGAAGCGCUGGAAGAGGUGCAGAGGAGGAUGGUGGGUCUGCAAAAGGAGCGGGAUAAGGAGGUGCAGGGCCGCAAAUCUCUGGAGGCCAACGUGGAGGCUGAGCGAGCUGCUCACCUGGAGUUCAAGCACAAGUGUGAGGUCGCACAGGCGGCGCUGGCACAGGAGCGCCGUGGCCAGCGGGAGGCGCAAUACAACCUGGAGCUGCUGCGAGGAGCGCUUGGAGAUGUGGAGCGAGCUUACCAGGAGGAGAGAGAGAGCAGACAGGGCACUGAGAAAGCUCUGCAGCGCUUGCAGACGGAGUACGAGCAGUACAAGUGUGACGUGAGCGUUGCCUUGGAGACGGAGAAGAGGAACACCGCUGAGCUGGCUGAGAAGCUGGAGGAGGAGAAAAGGCAGCAUGGCAACACACACCUGCUUGUGGAACAGGUGCAGAAUAGACAGGUGCAUUGUGGGAAACUCCUGGAAGAGAUCAGGGAGGCUCUCCAGCAGCGCACACAUAAAGGUGCAAAGGAUGAUGGGAAACGGAGUCUUCCUGCUGAUGUGAUGCAGUUGCUCCAUUUGAGACUCAGUGGACAGGAAGUAGCUGAGCAGCAGGUCCAGGAUCUGCUGUUGGCGUGCGAGAGACUGGACGAGGAGAAGCAAACGCUCAAACGCCUGACUGCGCAUCAGGAGCGACGUCUGCAAGAGGUUCGCCAGCUGUCACUCAAGCUGCAGGAGCGAGUGUCCCGCCUGCAAGAGGAGAGCCGUGAUUGGGCCGUGCACAACGAAAAGCUUCAGGACGAGUCUAAGACACACCUGUCCUUCCUGCACUGCAUCUCUCAGCGCCUGCUGGCGGGCAGCGUGCUUGCAGGACCGCAAAUCACGCCGGGUACUUUGAGCCGGUCAGACUUGUGUGACCUCAUCAGUGAGCUGGUGGAGCAGCUGACCUCUGACCUCCAGGAAGCCAACAACAAGGUGGCGCGUUUGCAGGCGGCGUGCGAGGAGAAGAGCGGGCGUGUGCGCCAGCUGCAGGGGCAUCACAAGCUCGUGUUGGCGCACGCGCGGGAGGGCAGGAGGAGGAGGGCGGAGGCCUGGAACAGCCGACACGCGCGCACCGUCACUCAGCUGCGGGACCUCCUCUCGCUGAGUCGCAGAAAGUCAGCCUCCUUCCUGUCGGCGUGCGCGCUCCUCGCUGGCACAACGGCGCACGCUCAGCGCCGCCUGCGCAGCCUCGCCGAGCAAAAACAUCUCCUGGCCUCUCGCUCGGCGGCGAGGGAGGACCUGGAGGAGGAGCUGCGGCGGUUGGCCGACGCGCUGGGCGGAGACGAAGGCGGCCGGUCGGAAGGCGGGGGGAGGAGCCCGGCGAGGAGGCGAUGGGGGAAGUACGUGUGCGUGGUGUCGGCGCUGAGGCGGUGGCGCGCCGUCGGAAGGCGGAGCACGGAGUUGUUCCGGCUGGAGACGGGAGGCGCGGGUGUAGUGGUGUGUGUCGCUACGGCAACGCUGAUGGGGGAGGAUGUCGUCGAAGGUCGUGACGCUUUGUGCGCUCGCUGGCUUCGCUCCAAACGUCUCCGCUCCGCCAUCUUGGACUGCAUGGCCGACCUGCCUCCUCCCGGCUCCUCCCCUCCGCGCGUGAGGUCGGCGGCGCGGUCUGGAUUGGCCCGCCUCCUGGAUCAGAUUGUCGGCCAAUCGGAAUCCGCUCCCGAAAUCCUGCACGAGAUGAUCCCGCAGACUCCGCCCCCCGACGACUCGAAGGCGCUGGUGUCCCGCCUCCGACACCACUUCCUGCUCCUCAGCCAACGGUUGCACUCGGCCGAAGUGGAGAGGCGGAGCCUGAGGCUGCAGGUGGCCAAUCUGAGAAGGACCGAGUCCCGCGGGGAGGACCCACGCAAGACAGUCCCAGCAAAGCACUUCCACAGCGUGUGCACAAACCUCCGCCAAGCACUCAGUGGGGAACAGGAAGCUCGCGCCAUGCUUCGGGAGCAAUCGACGCAGCGCGACUCCCUGCAGCUGCGACUCGACGCGUACGCCGCCGAGCGGGCCCGGGCCCACCGUGCGCUCGGCCGCACGGCCGAGGCGCUGGCGGAGGCUCGACGGCGUCUAACAGGAAAGGAGCGCUCGCUGAGGAUUCUGGGCAAGCACCUGUCGCGCGUGGACAAAGAGAGGCGGCGACUGCGACAUGUUGAGGACGCCAACAGGCGCCAGGAACGCUUGAUCGGCAACGGGGAGGCGGCGGAGGAAGUGGCCAUCGGUCCCGCUUCUGGUGCUUUGAAAGGAGCUGCCAGGAAGUGAGGGUCUUAAGGAGUGUCGCCCGGGUCAGAGGUCCCCAACCACGGGGUCAUUUGGUCCACGCCCACACAGAGACUGAACAAAAAACAUUUGAAUGAUGACGAGAUUUUGAAAGGUUUGAUUUUGAAAGUCGGGUGCCUUUGUCCAACCGCUCCGCCUGUUCCGAGGUCACGCAAGUCUGCAAAAUGUUUUCUUUGUAACGCGAGAUUUUCUGCGGCGACGGCGACCCCAACAUUUUUUUGCCAUAGACUGGACCCAUUCCAAAAAAUAGGACCAGUGAAGAAAACAACAGGUGGUCCUCACUAAAUACAACAAGUACAUUUUCAGCGUCAUGGUGAGUUGCUACUUGUGUAUGUUUUUUUUUUUUUGUGAA